CAAAAAAGUUAGUUAAAACAUAAUAUUAGGUUGUCAGCCUAAUGUCACUAAUUCAACUUAGUACUUUUUG
rnacentral:tRNA from 1 species